CAGGCUUAACACAUGCAGGUCGAGGGGCAGCGGGGUAGUGCUUGCACUACUGCCGGCGACCGGCGCACGGGUGAGUAACACGUAUGGAACCUGCCCGCAGCAGGGGGAUAAGCGGAAGAAAUUCCGUCUAAUACCGCGUAAGAACGUUGGGAGGCAUCUCCCGAUGUUUAAAGAUUUAUCGGCUGCGGAUGGCCAUGCGGCGCAUUAGCUAGUCGGCGGGGUAACGGCCCACCGAGGCGACGAUGCGUAGGGGUUCUGAGAGGAAGGUCCCCCACACUGGUACUGAGACACGGACCAGACUCCUACGGGAGGCAGCAGUGAGGAAUAUUGGUCAAUGGCCGAGAGGCUGAACCAGCCAAGUCGCGUGAGGGAAGACGGCCCUACGGGUUGUAAACCUCUUUUGUCGGGGAGCAAAGCGAACCACGUGUGGUUCAUUGAGAGUACCCGAAGAAAAAGCAUCGGCUAACUCCGUGCCAGCAGCCGCGGUAAUACGGAGGAUGCGAGCGUUAUCCGGAUUUAUUGGGUUUAAAGGGUGCGCAGGCGGAGGUGCAAGUCAGCGGUCAAAUUGCGGGGCUCAACCCCGUACUGCCGUUGAAACUGCAUCCCUUGAGUGCGCGAGAAGUAUGCGGAAUGCGUGGUGUAGCGGUGAAAUGCAUAGAUAUCACGCAGAACUCCGAUUGCGAAGGCAGCAUACCGGCGCGCAACUGACGCUCAUGCACGAAAGCGUGGGUAUCGAACAGGAUUAGAUACCCUGGUAGUCCACGCAGUAAACGAUGAACACUAACUGUUCGGCCAGAAUGAUGGCUGAGUGGUACAGCGAAAGCGUUAAGUGUUCCACCUGGGGAGUACGCCGGCAACGGUGAAACUCAAAGGAAUUGACGGGGGCCCGCACAAGCGGAGGAACAUGUGGUUUAAUUCGAUGAUACGCGAGGAACCUUACCCGGGCUCAAACGACACAGGAAUACUUUUGAAAGGAGGUAGCCCUACGGGGUCUGUGUCGAGGUGCUGCAUGGUUGUCGUCAGCUCGUGCCGUGAGGUGUCGGCUUAAGUGCCAUAACGAGCGCAACCCCUAUCGCCAGUUACCAUCAAGUAAAGUUGGGGACUCUGGCGAGACUGCCGGCGCAAGCUGAGAGGAAGGCGGGGAUGACGUCAAAUCAGCACGGCCCUUACGUCCGGGGCGACACACGUGUUACAAUGGCAGGUACAGAGAGAAGCCAGGUGGUGACACCGAGCGGAACUCGAAAGCCUGUCUCAGUUCGGAUCGGAGUCUGCAACCCGACUCCGUGAAGCUGGAUUCGCUAGUAAUCGCGCAUCAGCCAUGGCGCGGUGAAUACGUUCCCGGGCCU
rnacentral:rRNA from 1 species